GUUUGCGUUAACGCCGUUAAUAACGCGUUUAACUGACAGCUCUAAUACUUUUACAUUCUCGAUCUAUCGGAUAAGAUCUUGCAGAGAACCGAGGCAGGUCGAUGACAAUGGGCGUUCAGCCCCAAAGCCCGCCUCGCUUCAGAUGGAAAUGACCAGGUCAUUUCCAGGGAUGUUCACCAAGGCCAGAGGAAAGAGGCGCUUUCCCACCCCAACACUUGUCCCAGCCAAGAAGUUGAAGCCAUUAGAGGUGGCUUUCUAUUUGCUUCCAAAGCAGUGUGAGAAGACCCCGAAGGAGGGGGACCAAAUCCUCCAUCUCCAAGCAGGGUUAGGCCGCAGGACUGCUCACCUGGAUGAAGCUUCAACACACGAAGAGUUAUGUGAGGCCCUAAACAUUCUUUUUCCCAAACUGCGGAAUGUUUCCGGUGGGUGGCUGGUUUAUAAAGCUUCAGGUAGGCC